rnacentral:rRNA from 1 species
GACGAACGCUGGCGGCGUGCUUAACACAUGCAAGUCGAACGGUAAGGCCCUUCGGGGUACACGAGUUGCGAACGGGUGAGUAACACGUGGGUGAUCUGCCCUGCACUUCGGGAUAAGCCUGGGAAACUGGGUCUAAUACCGGAUAGGACCCUGGGAUGCAUGUCCCGGGGUGGAAAGCUUUUGCGUUGUGGAGAUGGGCCCGCGGCCUAGCAGGUUGUUGGUGGGAUGAGGGACUACUAAGGCGACGACGGGUAGCCGGCCUGCGAGGGUGACCUGCCACACGGGGGGUGAGAUAAGGCCCAGACUCCUACGGGAUGCAGCAGUGGGGGAUAUUGCACAAUGGGCGCAAGCCUGAGGCAGGGACGCCGCGUGAGGGAUGACGGCCUUCGGAUUGUAAUCCGCUUUCAGCACCGACGAAGCGCAAGUGACGGGAGGUGCAGAAGAAGGACCGGCCAACUACGUGCCAGCAGCCGCAGUAA